CCUACGGGUGGCAGCAGUGAGGAAUAUUGGUCAAUGGACGAGAGUCUGAACCAGCCAAGUAGCGUGAAGGAUGACUGCCCUAUGGGUUGUAAACUUCUUUUAUAUGGGAAUAAAAUGUUCCACGUGUGGGCUUUUGUAUGUACCAUAUGAAUAAGGAUCGGCUCACUCCGUGCCAGCAGCCGCGGUAAUACGGAGGAUCCGGACGUUAUACGGAUUUAUUGGGUUUAAAGGGAGCGUAGGUGGAUUGUUAAGCCAGUUGUGAAAGUUUGCGGCUCAACCGUAAAAGUGCAGUUGAAACUGGCAGUCUUGAGUACAGUAGAGGUGGGCGGAAUUCGUGGUGUAGCGGUGAAAUGCUUAGAUAUCACGAAGAACGCCGAUUGCGAAGGCAGCUCACUGGACUGCAACUGACACUGAGGCUCGAAAGUGUGGGUAUCAAACAGGAUUAGAUACCCGUGUAGUC
rnacentral:rRNA from 1 species